CACGGGGGGAGCAAGCGUUGUUCGGAAUCACUGGGCGUAAAGGGCGUGUAGGCGGUCAGGUAAGUGGGAUGUGAAAUCCCUCGGCUCACCCGAGGACCGGCAUCUCAUACUGCUUGGCUUGAGUACGGGAGAGGAUGUGGGAAUUCCUGGUGUAGCGGUGAAAUGCGUAGAUAUCAGGAGGAACACCGGUGGCGAAGGCGCACAUCUGGCCCGAUACUGACGCUGAGGCGCGAAAGCUAGGGGAGCAAACGGG
rnacentral:rRNA from 1 species